UUGCACAACUUCAAAAUUACAGACGUAUUUUUUUUUUAAAAUUUAUUUCUCGAGAUGAAAUGUUGCCAUGUGAAUGUACUGACAUGAUUGCAUUACUUUUGACCCAUUGUGCAUUAAGCCCAUCAUUCAGGAACGUGCCACGUUGUGUUAAUGGUCAUGUACUACAUUACUUUGACAGCUUAAGGAGGAAGUGCCUCGCCAGACGUGAAACGAGUACGUGAAACAUCCACAUCAGUCGUCAGACCAAAGUUUUUCGUGAAGAUGGCCCCCAUCAAAAGUGGAGCCUUCAUCCAUCACUUUGAGAUCUUUCUUCGAGGCGGACAGAGAGGGAUGUAUACUGUAAACACUCUCAUCAGUCGGUUGUGAACAACAAAUAAGGAAGAUCGUUGCUUGGCUUUGAUCAUAGCAACAACAACACAAAAUGCAAUCUCCAUUGAGUGUUACAAGUUUUAGUUUUUUUGCCAGUCUGAUGGAUAUUGCAAAGUACGGCAUAGAACUAAAUCGAACAUUCCAAGUGUUGUUGAUGAAUACGUAAUGAGAUGUUUUGAAUAUCCAAGGAAUAUGGAUGAGGAAUAUGUGCUCACGUAUGGAGUCAAGAUGUUAUCUAUAUAAAGGCGGAUGCAUGAGAGAGAUUUGUCGAGGCGUAUGAUAUGCAAAUGAUGAGCCCAAGACUUUCUGACUUGUCUUUGUCUCUAGACGGAAUCAAACGAGAUGCUAUAAACAUCUGACGUUUUGUGGUUUUCAAAGUUGGAGAUCGAACAGACCGAAAACAGGAAACUGAAAGGUGAAGGACAAACGUCACCGUCAAUCACAUCGUUUUUCGUUCAGCCAUCCACCCGAAAACUUGUUGGUGAAUGACAAAAAUCCAAGAUUGAAUUUCAAAAGAAAAGAAGAAAAGCCCAUACGUUUGGUCUUUGCAAUCCACUCGACCGGAAUUCACGUUCCUCUACACAAACGAUUGCUAUCUCUCGUUUUUGCCCAACACAACAUCAGGAUAAAAGGCUAGAGGAACUCGGGAUAGCAUUAGACCGGAAGUCCACCAGUAACUUUUUAGGACAUUACAACUAUCAAAACAGAGAGGAUGUCCGACUCGAUCAUCCGGUAAG